AGGGGGAGUGCCGGAUCUUGGGUUGUGUCCCCCAGGGCCCUUGGCUCCGGGGUCUGCACCGCUGGAAUCGCGCUCGCUGGGCCACGCAGCCCCCU
rnacentral:pre_miRNA from 1 species